GACGAACGCUGGCGGCGUGCUUAACACAUGCAAGUCGAACGGAAAGGCCCUGCUUGCAGGGUGCUCGAGUGGCGAACGGGUGAGUAACACGUGGGUGAUCUGCCCCUUACUUUGGGAUAAGCCUGGGAAACUGGGUCUAAUACUGGAUAGGACCAUGCUGUAGGUGGUGUGGUGGAAAGAUUAGUUUCGGUAAGGGAUGAGCUCGCGGCCUAUCAGCUUGUUGGUGGGGUAAUGGCCUACCAAGGCGUCGACGGGUAGCCGGCCUGAGAGGGUGGACGGCCACAUUGGGACUGAGAUACGGCCCAGACUCCUACGGGAGGCAGCAGUGGGGAAUAUUGCACAAUGAGCGCAAGCCUGAUGCAGCGACGCCGCGUGGGGGAUGACGGCCUUCGGGUUGUAAACUCCUUUCAGCCAUGACGAAGCCCUUGUGGUGACGGUAGUGGUAGAAGAAGCACCGGCUAACUACGUG
rnacentral:rRNA from 1 species